ensembl:lncRNA
AUGUGUCUGUUUUCCAGUCCAACAGGAGUGGACCCCUCAGGACAUCCUGUGUCAGUGGGAUCCUGUGUCAGUGGGAUCCUGUGCAUGGACAUCCUGUGUCAGUGGGAUCCUGUGUCAGUGGGAUCCUGUGCAUGGACAUCCUGUGCAUGGACAUCCUGUGUCAGUGGGAUCCUGUGCAUGGACAUCCUGUGUCAGUGGGAUCCUGUGCAUGGACAUCCUGUGUCAGUGGGAUCCUGUGCAUGGACAUCCUGUGCAUGGACAUCCUGUGCCAGUGGGAUCCGAGCGCAUAAAGACCCUGUGGAUGGACAGAUCCAAUACCACCAUUACAACAAUAUGCACGUGUCUGUACCUUUGUGUUACGUUACAUUGAGUUACAUUCACGAGAAGCAGCAGUGAUCAUCCCCCUGCAAGGAGAUCUGCUGGAAGCGAUGUCCUCACUGGGGGUAAGACCUCAUUUAAACAUCACAGAUAGAAAUUCCCACUGUGCCCAUGAUAAAAUGCAAUGUGAGUUGUGCUACUGAAUGAAACUGUGAGGAGAUGUACUCAGGCCAGCCUUUGUGAUUGAACACGCAACAAUUUCCACGAUUUUACUGAGUUACGAAAUCAGUCAAUUGAAAUUAAUUAAUUAGGCCCUAAUCUAUGACUUUCACAUGACUGGGAAUACAGAUCUGCAUCUGUUGGUCACAUAUAUUUUCAGAAAAAAGGUAGGGGGUGGAACAGAAAACCAGUCAGUAUCUGGAGUGACCACUUUCCUCAUGCAGCGUAACACAUCUCCUUCACAUAGAGUUGAUCAGGCUUUUGAUUGUGGCCUGUGGAAUGUUGUCCCACUCCUCUUCAACAGUGGUGCGACAUUUCUGGAUAUUGGUGGGAACGCUGUUGUACACAUAGACCCAGAGCAUCCCAAAAAAUUCUCAAUGGGUGACAUGUCUGGUGAGUAUGCAGGCCAUGGAAGAGCUGGGACAUUUUCAGCUUCUUGGAAUUGUGUACAGAUCCUUGCAACAUGGAGCUGUGUAUUAUCAUGCUGAAACAUGAGGUGAUGGCUGUGGAUCAAUGGCACGACAAUGGGCCUCAGGAUCUCAUCACAGUAUCUCUAUGUUUUCAAAUUUCCAUCGAUAAAAUGCAAUUGUGUUCGGUGUCCGUAGCUUAUGCCUGCCCAUACCAUUACCCCACCACCACCAUGGGGGCACUCUGUUCACAGUGUUGACAUCAGCAAACCGCUCGUCACACACAAUGCAAAAAUUAUUUGGUUGUGCAAACCCACAGUUUCAUCAGCUUGUCUGGGUAACUGGUCUCAGACGAUCCCGCAGGUGAAGAAGCCGGAUGUUGAGGUCCUGGGCUGGUGUGGUUGCACAUGGUCUGCAUUUGUGAGUUCUGUUGGACGUACUGCCAAAUUCACUAAAACGAUGUUGAAGGUGGCUUAAGGUAGAGAAAUUAACAUUCAAUACUCCGGCAACAUUCCUGCAGUCAGCAUCUGUGGCAUUGUGUUGUGUGACAAAACCACAUUUUAGAGUGGCCUUUUAUUGUCCCCAGCACAAGGUGCACCUGUGUAAUGAUCAUGCUGUUUAAUCAGCUUCUUGAUAUGCCACACCUGUCAGGUGGAUGGAUUAUCUUGGUGAAGGAGAAAUGCUCACUAACAGGGAUGUAAACAGAGUUGUGAGAAAUAAGCUUUUUGCAUGUUGCGUUUAUAUUUUUGCUCAGUAUAGUAUAGCCUAUUGUUUGCGUAUGAUCUUUAUUCAUUGUUCACUUGUUUUGUCAACAAGGCCAAAUACAGACAGGGAUGACUUGGGCCUUCAACAAGUAAGACACGGGGUAAGAAAUAAUUUGAACAUCACAGAUAUAAAUUCCCACUGUGCCCAUGAUAAAAUGAACUACAUUACUUUAGUUGGCUGCUUUGAGCAACAUUUGUAUGUAAUGUAACAUGUUCUGGGAGCCUAGUGUUUGUGUAUGAACUAUGUGGAAUAUUUUUGGACUAUUGGCUUCUCUGAAAACAGGUACUGACAGGAUGAGCAAUAUGAGUCUGUCAGAGGUCGUCACGCUGGAAGGUGACGGAGGCUUUGGUGGUCCACACAACGAAGAAACAGGUGUCCCUUCCAGUGAUGUGGGACUGACCUUGGACCUGGUACCAGUAAGGAUGGUCUUUACGGAGGCGGUAAGACCCUCGCUCCUUGAUAUAGAAAUCCUUCGACUUCACUGCCUCUUCAACGGUCUGUUGCACCAUUGUCCUCCACCAGACCAUCCGGUGAGGCACCCAGGAUCCCAGACUCAAAGCCCUGACUCCUGCAUGCCCCAGGUGCCCUUGUUUUUUAACAAUGCCCGGUACAGACAGGGAUGACUGGGAGGGUAGGGGAUUUUCUGACUCAGGUUCAAGGAGACGGGGUGGCAGGUAGCCUAGUAGUUAGAGCGUUGGACUAGUAACCGAAAGGUUACAAGAUCGAAUCCCUGAGCUGACAAGGUAAAAUCUGUCCUUCUGCCCCUGAACUUGGUAGUUAACCCACUGUUCCUAAGCUGUCCUUGAAAAUAAUAAUUUGUUCUUAACUGACUUGCCUAGUUAAAUAAAGGUAAAAUUAAAAAAAGACAUGCCAAUCCACUGAACCUUCCCCAGAGACGGUUCCUUACCCUCUGAGAUCCUCCUCUGUGGGAUCUCAGGACAGAGGGUUGUAGUCUUCGCCGGGUACAGGUCCUCCACUGACUGCACCUGGUUGGGCACGGCUGGCUUCCUCCACAUUCCACAUCCAUAUGUUGGAUAUUAUGAACCACCAAAAUAGGCUACAUGGCACCGCUAAUGGAGGCAUUCACAUGUGGUAGAGAGAAUCCCCUGCCAACAGGAAGGAGGAUGACGGCCUACCCCAGUCAAACCCUAACCCGGACGACGCUGGGCCAAUUGUGAGCUGCCCUAUGGGACUCCCAAUCACGGCCGGUUAGGAUACAUCCUGGAAUCAAACCAGGGUCUGUAGUGACGCCUCUGAGAUUCAGUGCCUUAGACCACUGCGCCACUCGGGAACCCAGCUGUAGAAUUUUUAAGCACAUUUUCACAUCAGGACAAGUGCAACUUUUCCAUAACUUGUAAUUUUAUCAAUUAAAAGUGUAUCACUUAAUCCUAUAAAUUCACUGUAUGAAUUAAUGUACCACUCUGAAUAAAUAAACACUAUGCUUUUGAAGAUUUGUCUCUGCUCAUGAAACUACAAUACAGACUGGAUGUCUAAACAAAGGCAAUUCUGAAUGUCAAUAUACUUUUAGAUUCAUUCUCAUUAUUGACAACAAUCUAGAACUGAGUUAUCAGU